UUAUUGUUAAUGUAACUCAUUUUGUCAUCUUAACAUUGUUCAGUCAAAUUCAGCAUUGUACUUUUUUUAUUUGUUUUUCAACGGUAAACCGAAUGAUUAGAUAAUGAUCUGGUCUUUAUUAUUUGAUUUGCUGCUUUCCUCCAUAUUAACGGACUUGAAUUACAUUCUCAAGGGACUGAAGGGAUCGUCUUCAUUAUCUGGUUACCAUUGUUAUCCAUUAUUGUACUAUUUUUCAAAGGUAAUAUCUGACUAUCGUUUGAUGGUGAAAUAAGGUUGGUAAAGAUUAGGCAAGGAGUAAAACUCUAGAUUGUGAUUCAAUUUGGAGCUGCGGUACCAUAUUAUGCUGAUCUUUUCUGUUGAUUAGAUAGUAAUCAUUCUACAUUUAGUUCAAUGCUGAUUGACUGCUUUCUCCUUACAUCACCGUUUUGUUUGGGCUUCUCGAUUCGCUGUCUUUUUGCUUCGUGACAAAUGGACACUUUUAUUUUUUUGUUAUAUCAAGAAUUGUGAAAUUGCCAAUUUGAUUAUUUGACAGUUUCUUCAAUUAUGUGGAUGACCAUUUAUUUUAGUCCAAAAUUUGUUAUUGUUUAAAGAUCUUUAAACACCGACAAACACAGCAAGAUGGAAAUAAAAACCAAUCCAUGAAAAUUCCUUUGCAAUCAUCAUCUGGAUCAUAAGCGAGUAAACGAUGCCAUUUAUAUUUUUGUUCACAAGUGCAAUCUUUAUUACAUCUACUGGUUUGUGAUGUGCUGUAAAAAAAGGAAAUCAAUAAGUAAAUUGUGGAUAUUUCAUUUGUUGAUGUGAAUUCAAUUUGGAGUCAUGCAAAUUUAUACUCACCGGCAAACUUCUUGUUGUAUCGCCUGUUGUAAAUGCUGAGUAUUGACCACAGCUCGGAUUUUACCUGCUGAAUUGGCUGCCCAAUAAGGAGUUACAAUUUCAACAUUGGAUUCACACGAAUCAAUUCUGGACAAAAUACAAUGGAUGAGAAAAUAUAGUUGGUUAAAUUGUUAUCAUCAAUUGAUUGCUUAUAGAGUCUGCCCAUGCAAUCAUCAACUAUACAAUUGCUGGUAACCAAAUACGUGAAAUAUUGGAAAAUAAUUGGCAUUAUUCUGCGUUAUUAUUGACAAAAUUUAAUAAGCACAGUGCUUCUACAAGGAAACAACAAAAGGAGUCUCAAAGAAAUAACAUUAUUUGCGGUUAUCCCAUUGUAGUGCUAUUGAAUUAUUUUCCAGGCCGAUUCAAACUCUUGUUAAGUGUUCAGUCAAAAUCUUGUCUUACAUUUUUACCUGCUUUUCAUUUUGUUCAUCGUUUGACUUCUCUUACUAACCCUCACUCUCUCCUACAUCUUCAUUUUAACCUGUAAUAGGUUUCUAUAAUAAUCAAGAGAGAAAGAGAAGAAAACGUGAUCUCCAGGCUGACCACAAGAGCAAUAUGAAAAGAAAGUCCAUUCUAAAACUCGCUAGCAAAAGAUAAUUAUGAUGACUUACAACAAAGUUAAAGACAGAAAGAUACUUUUAUCCAUUUUUCUCAUUCCUCUUCAGAUUAUUUGUGCCUAUUUUCAUCUUCAUCCAUUGAAAGGUACAACAAAUAAUUGUUCAAAGUCUCAUAAGCCUUGUUAAAGCAAUUACGAUUAAUUAGUUUUCAGAAAAUAUUUAUCCUAAAUAUUUAGACAUUUUAAAAAGAGCUUAGAUUCUGAAAUCGGGCAAAGUUUUGGAAUCAUUUUGGACUUACCUGUUAUCAUUGAAUUCUUCAUAACUAGAUCUUGGAACUCGAACUUUACUCUUUUUAUCAGCUUGAUUAUCCAAAUUUAAAUGAUCAUCAAUUUGUCCAUCAAAUAACUGUGAUAAAUUUUCUCCAAACAUUCGUUUUAUCAAAGCUUUAUUUUCCUCUAUGUAAUUUUCAAUGUUUUUCCUGCAAAACAGUUAAAUUUUGAUGUUAUUUUCAAUUGAAGUAACAAUAUGGAAGCUUGAAUAUAUCAUAACAAUAUCGCAUGAAAAUACAAUUUUGAUAAACGAAAUUAAUUACCUUGGAUAAAUUUGACCGGGUGAACCACAAUAAAGUUGAUUACUUUUCUUAACA